UAUUAGGUUGGUGCAAAAGUAAUUGCAGUUUUUGCCAUUACUUUCAAUGGCAAAAACUGCAAUUACUUUUGCACCAACUUAAUA
rfam:Pan troglodytes isolate Yerkes chimp pedigree #C0471 (Clint) chromosome 21, whole genome shotgun sequence.